UCCCAAGUCUUCAUUCACUAGUAAUAAGACGCACGGUGAACAGACAUCCACGGAGCGCAGCGCAACACUGACGCGCCAAGUACCAAAACAAGACAGUGGUGUUGCAUCGUCCUGCACGCACACACACACACACACACACACCGACGUAACCAUUGUGGAGUACUGUACUGUACCACUGUGGAAGCGAAGAGGAGAACAGCGCGAACAGAGGGAUCAGAUAAUGGAUAUUGAUCUUCCGUUAUUAAACCUUUACCUCUUUUGGAUAAUCUGGGAAUUCUAAAACAUAUUACUUUGGCAGGUUGGAACAUCCAACAAAGAUUCUAAUUACGGAAAAACAACGAAGUGGAACGAGAAGGAGGAUUUAUAUUUUGUUAUUUCUUUCUGCUUUUUUAUUUGUAUUUCGCCCCCCAACACUUUGGAAUAGUGGGCUUUGGAAUAUAUUGGCGGGUGACGCGACUGCCCUGGAUAAACGAGAAGGAUGGCAACUUGGUUCACUUUUACCAUCGCAUUCAGCACCACUGUACUGACACAGGUAUUUGGAUCCGGUGUUUUUGAGAUCGAUCUACAUGAAUUUAAAAACAGCAAAGGAUUGCUGGAGAAUGGCAACUCGUGCAGGCUCAACUGCAGGACUUUCUUUCGUGUUUGUCUUAAGAACUACCAGGCGGUAGUGUCGCCAGGUGACUGUAUCUUUGGAAAUGCCUUGACACCGGUGCUAGGGACCAACUCCUUUAGCGCCAUGGACGGGGGAGCUUUCAGUAGACCCAUCCGACUACCGUUCAACUUUGGAUGGCCGGGAUCGUUUUCUUUGAUAAUUGAAGCCUGGUAUUCAUCUUCAACAGAUCUACCUGUUGGUAAGUCGAUCUAUUCAACGCCACAAGAGGGCGACCUUUCUACACAUUUCACAAAUAGUCCCUCUGUAACUAAUGCACCUUUUAAGUSUCAAACUUUUAUCCCAUAAUGAGUAUCUUCUCACUAUCGUUGAUCCAUUCCCCUUAUUGUUAAUUGUUCCCUAUAUUUUUUUCAUAUUUUUACUCCUUUAUGCAGC